rnacentral:rRNA from 1 species
UACGUAGGGUGCGAGCGUUAAUCGGAAUUACUGGGCGUAAAGCGUGCGCAGGCGGUUAUGUAAGACAGAUGUGAAAUCCCCGGGCUCAACCUGGGAACUGCAUUUGUGACUGCAUAGCUAGAGUACGGUAGAGGGGGAUGGAAUUCCGCGUGUAGCAGUGAAAUGCGUAGAUAUGCGGAGGAACACCGAUGGCGAAGGCAAUCCCCCGGACCUGUACUGACGCUCAUGCACGAAAGCGUGGGGAGCAAACAGG